AUUGAACGCUGGCGGCAGGCCUAACACAUGCAAGUCGAACGGUAGCACAGAGAGCUUGCUCUCGGGUGACGAGUGGCGGACGGGUGAGUAACGUCUGGGAAACUGCCCGAUGGAGGGGGAUAACUACUGGAAACGGUAGCUAAUACCGCAUAACGUCGCAAGACCAAAGUGGGGGACCUUCGGGCCUCACACCAUCGGAUGUGCCCAGAUGGGAUUGGCUAGUAGGUGGGGUAAUGGCUCAACUAGGCGACGAUCCCUAGCUGGUCUGAGAGGAUGUCCAGCCACACUAGAACUGAGACACGGUCCAGACUCCUACGGGAGGAAGCAGUGGGUAAUAUUACACAAUGGGCGCAAGCGUGAUGCAGCCAUGCCGCGUGUAUGAAGAAGGCCUUCGGGUUGUAAAGUACUUUCAGCGGGGAGGAAGGCGGUGAAGUUAAUAGCUUAACCGAUUGACGUUACCCGCAGAAGAAGCACCGGCUAACUCCGUGCCAGCCGCCGCCGUAA
rnacentral:rRNA from 1 species